rnacentral:rRNA from 1 species
GCAUAUCAAUAAGCGGAGGAAAAAGAAACCAACAGGGAUUGCCCUAGUAACGGCGAGUGAAGCGGCAACAGCUCAAAUUUGAAAUCUGGUCCCCCCCGCGGGGGCCCCGAGUUGUAAUUUGAAGAGGAUGCUUUUGGCGAGGCGCCUUCCGAGUGCCCUGGAACGGGACGCCACAGAGGGUGAGAGCCCCGUAUGGUUGGACGCCGAGCCUCUGUAAAGCUCCUUCGACGAGUCGAGUAGUUUGGGAAUGCUGCUCAAAAUGGGAGGUAAACCCCUUCUAAAGCUAAAUACUGGCCAGAGACCGAUAGCGCACAAGUAGAGUGAUCGAAAGAUGAAAAGCACUUUGAAAAGAGAGUUAAACAGCACGUGAAAUUGUUGAAAGGGAAGCGCUUGCGACCAGACUCGCGCCCGCCGGAUCAGCCGUCGCUCGUCGGCGGCGCACUCCGGCGGGCUCGGGCCAGCAUCGGUUCGCCCGGGGGGAGAAAGGCGGCGGGAACGUGGCUCUGCGGAGUGUUAUAGCCCGCCGCGUAAUACCCUAGGGCGGACCGAGGACCGCGCGUAUGCAAGGAUGCUGGCGUAAUGGUCGUCAGCGACCCGUCUUGAAACACGGACCAAGGAGUCGUCCUAGUAUGCGAGUGUUCGGGUGUCAAACCCCUGCGCGUAAUGAAAGUGAACGGAGGUGAGAGCUUCGGCGCAUCAUCGACCGAUCCUGAUGUUCUCGGAUGGAUUUGAGUAAGAGCAUACUGGGCCGGACCCGAAAGAAGGUGAACUAUGCCUGUAUAGGGUAAAGCCAGAGGAAACUCUGGUGGAGGCUCGCAGCGGUUCUGACGUGCAAAUCGAUCGUCAAAUAUGGGCAUGGGGGGCGAAAGACUAAUCGAACCCUUCUAGUAGCUGGGUUUCCGCGAAG